AUUGAACGCUGGCGGCAGGCCUAACACAUGCAAGUCGAACGAGUGGCGGACGGGUGAGUAAUGUCUGGGAAACUGCCCGAUGGAGGGGGAUAACUACUGGAAACGGUAGCUAAUACCGCAUACCAUCGGAUGUGCCAAGAUGGGAUUGGCUAGUAGGGGGGGUAACGGCCCACCUAGGCGACGAUCCCUAGCUGGUCUGAGAGGAUGACCAGCAACACUGGAACUGGGACACGGUCCAGACGCCUACGGGAGGCAGCAGUGGGGAAUAUUGCACAAUGGGCGAAAGCCUGAUGCAGCCAUGCCGCGUGUAUGAAGAAGGCCUUCGGGUUGUAAAGUACUUUAAGCGGGGAGGCGUUACCCGCAGAAGAAGCACCGGCUAACUCCGUGCCAGCAGCCGCGGUAAUUC
rnacentral:rRNA from 1 species